UCUUCUCUCUUCUGUUUCUUUUCUUCUCCUCUGUUGAGUUUCUGAUAAAGGCGAUCGAUGAUGUUGAGAUGUUUUUGUGACGAGAAGGAUCAAGUUAUAGUAGUAGGUGUUAUUGUUGAGGUUGAAUCAGUGAUUUACAAGGAGGAUACUUAGAAAUUGAAAUAGUAAAUCACAAAGAAUCAGAAGUAUGGUUUGGUUUGAAAUUGAGAAGUGAAUCGAGUUGUUAACAGAUGAAGAAUUGAGGGGUUCUUAUCGAAUUGAUGAAGCGAAGAUGUUCUGAAGGUGAAUCGAAGAAAUUAGGGUUUCAUGUUCUUCCUAAAGUUAAGAACUAGGGUUUCUGAGAUUUGUUGAGGUUAUGAUUAGUGAUGAUUAAGAGGAAUUCGAUGAUGAAAAUGAUGUGAUAGAAGGAUGAUUGAGGAUGGGUUUAUCGUGAAUUAGAGUUUGAAGUUGAAGAACAACCUGAACUCGGUAGUUAGGGCUUGAUCCUGUUUUAAUGAAGAUUUGGAAAUUAAAUUGGGGUUUAGUUGAGAACUGUUAGUGAUGAUGGGAUUGAUGUGGUGUUGGAUGAACUGUAUUGGUGGGUUGUUGUAACCUUAAGAAGAAUCGCAGAAUCCAGUUAAGCAAGAAGAGGAGUUGAAUUAUAUUUGCUGGAAUGGAGUUAAUCUGAGGUUAAUGGUUUCGUAGUUGGUGGUGUUGAUGCUGAGAUGGUGGUGGUAAUGUACUGAGUUAGUAGUAGAAUGUUUGCAGCUCAUGAGACCAGUGGUGAUGCCAUUGAGAUAAAUUCACAGUAUUUGUGACUGACUAGAGUUGAAAUGUAACUGAAGCAAAUAUACAAGAUGGUGUUUUUAUUUGAAUGAAUGUUAAUUGGGAUUUGAAUGUUCAACAAUGUUGUUGGAGAGGGUAUUUAGCUGAAGUUACUCUGGUUUGUGGAGGAGAUGGAUAGGUAAUGAGGUUGUAACUAAUGAACAGUAGUAGAUAUGGUGAUGCAUUGUUGAUAGUGAAGUCUGUGAAGAUGUAAUUGUGUUUUGAGUUGAGAGAGUAGAAAAUAUGUGGUAGUGGUGAUUAUAGAAUCACAAUUGGUAGCCUCAUUGAAAGCUUGGAACUGUUGUAUCGCAGGUAGGCUUAAAUUUCAGUUGUAUUGAAUUACUGAAUUUUAUAUUAAUGAAUUAUUUGUGUAUUAGAA